CUACGGGGGGCUGCAGUUAGGAAUAAUCUACAAUGCGCGCAAGCGUGAUAGUUUGAGCCAGAGUGCUUUUCAACGAAAAGCUUUUGUGAAAUGUAAAAAGUUUCUCGAAUAAGGACUGGGUAAGACUAGUGCCAGCCGCCGCGGUAAUACUAGCGGUCCAAGUCGCAGCCAUAUUUAUUGGGUCUAAAACAUCCGUAGCUUGCUUAAUAAGUUUCUUGUGAAAUUCCAUGUCUUAAACGUGGAGCGUGCAAGAAGUACUGUUAAGCUAGAGACUGGGAGACGUAAGAAGUACGUUCAAAGUAGCGUUAAAAUGUGUUAAUCUUGAACGGACUAACAAUAGCGAAGGCAUCUUACGAGAACGGUUCUGACAGUAAGGGAUGAAGGCUAGGGGCGCAAAACGGAUUAGAUACCCGAGUAGUC
rnacentral:rRNA from 1 species